AGGGGCAUCAGGCCUAACCUUCUGUCGCUUUUGGUCAUGUCAUGGCACUUCGCCAUGGCUUAUUCAGCUAGCGAAUGACACCGAUGGUGUAAUAUGACUUUGCAGCUCUGGAACAAGAUGUAAGGGAAAAAUAAAACACCCUGUGUUCAUUCAGUCAGGCCAUUCUGUCCCAUUUUCGACAACUUCAGUUUUCGUCUGAUGCUUGUUCCCAUGAAAAGGGAGAAAGAGAGUGAGAGGCGCCGAGCGGGAGAGCACAAACUGUUACAAUAAUAUGUGUGGGCUGAGGGACUGAUUCAAGGGCUGAAGUGAGCUCUGGAGAAGACUCUGGGACUGGAGUGGGCUCAGGAACAGAUUCGGGGACUAAAGUGGACGGCACCACCUCGGGAGGUUCUGCAGCGGAAGCCAGCCUCAGGCACCUUGGGACAGACUUUUUUGUCUUCAAAUGUAACAUUCACAAUGCUCUGGAACACUGGAGUGGCAUCUGUGAUGGCUGAAGACUGUGGCCUGACAUCUCUGAAGGUCGGAGUCUCUGGCAUGGCGGUCCUGACGUGAACAGGCUCUGGCUUGGCAGACUUGAUGUGAGCAGGCUCUGGCGUGGCGGCCCUGACAUGAACAGGCUCUGGCUUGGCAGACUUGAGGUGAGCAGGCUCUGUCUUGGCAGGCUUGAUGUAAGCAGGCUUUGGCAGGCUUGAUGUGAAUAGGCUCUGGCUUGGCAGUCCUAAUGUGACGAGGCUCUGGAAGAUCAGUUAAGAUGCGACGUGACUCUGGAAGAUCAGCUGAGACAUGUAGAUUCUCUGGAAGAUCAGCUAUGAUGUGACGAGACACUGGAAUGGCAGCUAUUUAGCAAAAAGUCUCUGGGCUGGCAGCCAUUUUGAGACGAGGUUCAAGUGCAGGAACCACAGAGCAGGAGGGCACAACAACACAGGGCUAUAGACCCCCACAACAGGACACGCUGGUGACUGAGAUUCAGAGCCUCAUUUGUUUUGGACUCCUCCAAAUAGCUUGGUUCUUCUGGGAUGUGUGUGAUCUCUGGAGAAGACCUAGAUACAAGAAACAAAGAACUCCUCUGCCUGAAGGAUCCAAGUCAAACCAAUCUGUUACAAGUAACAUUUCAUUAUCUCUUCAGAUACAAACCACAAGGUCCCGCAAAUAGAGGCCUAUUUUUCCGGCUCUGCUAAUAGAAUUGAAUUUCACAGAGUGUAACUUAAAUUAGACAUUCCAUAGCAGCCCUGAAUGGCAGAAAUAAUCGGCAUGGGUGACUAAUUUGGCAGAGCGUGUGCUAAGUACACAAAUCCCCUUUUUUCCACCCCUCGCCCGAGGUUUGCGAAGAGCGGCGCACAACCCACAGACAAAGGCAACACGCGGCUCAUAAAAAUUAACAUAGUAAAUGACCUGGAG
ensembl:lncRNA